rnacentral:rRNA from 1 species
UACGUAGGGUGCAAGCGUUAUCCGGAAUUAUUGGGCGUAAAGAGCUCGUAGGCGGUUUGUCGCGUCUGCUGUGAAAACUGGGGGCUCAACCCCCAGCCUGCAGUGGGUACGGGCAGACUAGAGUGCGGUAGGGGAGAUUGGAAUUCCUGGUGUAGCGGUGGAACGCGCAGAUAUCAGGAGGAACACCGAUGGCGAAGGCAGAUCUCUGGGCCGUAACUGACGCUGAGGAGCGAAAGCAUGGGGAGCGAACAGG